AAUGAACGCUGGCGGCAGGCCUAACACAUGCAAGUCGAACGGAUCCUUCGGGAUUAGUGGCGGACGGGUGAGUAACGCGUGGGAACAUACCCAAAGGUACGGAAUAGCCUCGGGAAACUGGGAGUAAUACCGUAUGUGCUCGAAAGAGGAAAGAUUUAUCGCCUUUGGAUUGGCCCGCGUUGGAUUAGGUAGUUGGUGGGGUAAUGGCCUACCAAGCCGACGAUCCAUAGCUGGUUUGAGAGGAUGAUCAGCCACACUGGGACUGAGACACGGCCCAGACUCCUACGGGAGGCAGCAGUGGGGAAUCUUAGACAAUGGGGGAAACCCUGAUCUAGCCAUGCCGCGUGAGCGAUGAAGGCCUUAGGGUUGUAAAGAUCUUGCAGGUGGGAAGAUAAUGACGGUACCACCAGAAGAAGCCCCGGCUAACUCCGUGCCAGCCGCCGCGGUAACAC
rnacentral:rRNA from 1 species